rnacentral:rRNA from 1 species
UACGGAGGGUGCAAGCGUUAUCCGGAUUCACUGGGUUUAAAGGGUGCGUAGGUGGGCAGGUAAGUCAGUGGUGAAAUCUCCGGGCUUAACCCGGAAACUGCCAUUGAUACUAUUUGUCUUGAAUACCGUGGAGGUCAGCGGAAUAUGUCAUGUAGCGCUGAAAUGCUUAGAUAUGACAUAGAACACCAAUUGCGAAGGCAGCUGGCUACACGAAUAUUGACACUGAUGCACGAAAGCGUGGGGAUCAAACAGG